AACUCCAAGCUUCUGAUGCU
rnacentral:siRNA from 1 species